AGCGUACACGGUGGAUGCCCUGGCAGUCAGAGGCGAUGAAGGACGUGCUAAUCUGCGAAAAGCGUCGGUAAGGUGAUAUGAACCGUUAUAGCCGGCGAUGUCCGAAUGGGGAAACCCAGUGCAAUUCGUUGCACUAUCGUUAACUGAAUACAUAGGUUAACGAGGCGAACCGGGGGAACUGAAACAUCUAAGUACCCCGAGGAAAAGAAAUCAACCGAGAUUCCCCCAGUAGCGGCGAGCGAACGGGGAGCAGCCCAGAGUCUGAAUCAGCUUGUGUGUUAGUGGAACGGUCUGGAAAGUCCGACGGUACAGGGUGAUAGUCCCGUACACCAAAAUGCACAGGCUGUGAACUCGAAGAGUAGGGCGGGACACGUGGUAUCCUGUCUGAAUAUGGGGGGACCAUCCUCCAAGGCUAAAUACUCCUGACUGACCGAUAGUGAACCAGUACCGUGAGGGAAAGGCGAAAAGAACCCCGGCGAGGGGAGUGAAAAAGAACCUGAAACCGUGUACGUACAAGCAGUGGGAGCACCUUCGGGUGUGACUGCGUACCUUUUGUAUAAUGGGUCAGCGACUUAUAUUCUGUAGCAAGGUUAACCGUAUAGGGGAGCCGCAGGGAAACCGAGUCUUAACUGGGCGUUAAGUUGCAGGGUAUAGACCCGAAACCCGGUGAUCUAGCCAUGGGCAGGUUGAAGGUUGGGUAACACUAACUGGAGGACCGAACCGACUAAUGUUGAAAAAUUAGCGGAUGACUUGUGGCUGGGGGUGAAAGGCCAAUCAAACCGGGAGAUAGCUGGUUCUCCCCGAAAGCUAUUUAGGUAGCGCCUCGUGAAUUCAUCUUCGGGGGUAGAGCACUGUUUCGGCUAGGGGGUCAUCCCGACUUACCAACCCGAUGCAAACUACGAAUACCGAAGAAUGUUAUCACGGGAGACACACGGCGGGUGCUAACGUCCGUCGUGAAGAGGGAAACAACCCAGACCGCCAGCUAAGGUCCCAAAGUCAUGGUUAAGUGGGAAACGAUGUGGGAAGGCACAGACAGCCAGGAUGUUGGCUUAGAAGCAGCCAUCAUUUAAAGAAAGCGUAAUAGCUCACUGGUCGAGUCGGCCUGCGCGGAAGAUGUAACGGGGCUAAACCAUGCACCGAAGCUGCGGCAGCGACACUAUGUGUUGUUGGGUAGGGGAGCGUUCUGUAAGCCUGCGAAGGUGACCUGUGAGGGUUGCUGGAGGUAUCAGAAGUGCGAAUGCUGACAUAAGUAACGAUAAAGCGGGUGAAAAGCCCGCUCGCCGGAAGACCAAGGGUUCCUGUCCAACGUUAAUCGGGGCAGGGUGAGUCGACCCCUAAGGCGAGGCCGAAAGGCGUAGUCGAUGGGAAACAGGUUAAUAUUCCUGUACUUGGUGUUACUGCGAAGGGGGGACGGAGAAGGCUAUGUUAGCCGGGCGACGGUUGUCCCGGUUUAAGCAUGUAGGCUGGUUAUCCAGGCAAAUCCGGAUAAUCAAGGCUGAGGUGUGAUGACGAGGCACUACGGUGCUGAAGUAACAAAUGCCCUGCUUCCAGGAAAAGCCUCUAAGCAUCAGGUAACAUCAAAUCGUACCCCAAACCGACACAGGUGGUCAGGUAGAGAAUACCAAGGCGCUUGAGAGAACUCGGGUGAAGGAACUAGGCAAAAUGGUGCCGUAACUUCGGGAGAAGGCACGCUGGUGUGUAGGUGAAGUCCCUGCGGAUGGAGCUGAGACCAGUCGAAGAUACCAGCUGGCUGCAACUGUUUAUUAAAAACACAGCACUGUGCAAACACGAAAGUGGACGUAUACGGUGUGACGCCUGCCCGGUGCCGGAAGGUUAAUUGAUGGGGUUAUCCGUAAGGAGAAGCUCUUGAUCGAAGCCCCGGUAAACGGCGGCCGUAACUAUAACGGUCCUAAGGUAGCGAAAUUCCUUGUCGGGUAAGUUCCGACCUGCACGAAUGGCGUAAUGAUGGCCAGGCUGUCUCCACCCGAGACUCAGUGAAAUUGAACUCGCUGUGAAGAUGCAGUGUACCCGCGGCAAGACGGAAAGACCCCGUGAACCUUUACUAUAGCUUGACACUGAACAUUGAGCCUUGAUGUGUAGGAUAGGUGGGAGGCUUUGAAGCGUGGACGCCAGUCUGCGUGGAGCCAACCUUGAAAUACCACCCUUUAAUGUUUGAUGUUCUAACGUUGGCCCCUUACCGGGGUUGCGGACAGUGUCUGGUGGGUAGUUUGACUGGGGCGGUCUCCUCCCAAAGCGUAACGGAGGAGCACGAAGGUUAGCUAAUCCUGGUCGGACAUCAGGAGGUUAGUGCAAUGGCAUAAGCUAGCUUGACUGCGAGCGUGACGGCGCGAGCAGGUGCGAAAGCAGGUCAUAGUGAUCCGGUGGUUCUGAAUGGAAGGGCCAUCGCUCAACGGAUAAAAGGUACUCCGGGGAUAACAGGCUGAUACCGCCCAAGAGUUCAUAUCGACGGCGGUGUUUGGCACCUCGAUGUCGGCUCAUCACAUCCUGGGGCUGAAGUAGGUCCCAAGGGUAUGGCUGUUCGCCAUUUAAAGUGGUACGCGAGCUGGGUUUAGAACGUCGUGAGACAGUUCGGUCCCUAUCUGCCGUGGGCGCUGGAGAAUUGAGGGGGGCUGCUCCUAGUACGAGAGGACCGGAGUGGACGCAUCACUGGUGUUCGGGUUGUCAUGCCAAUGGCACUGCCCGGUAGCUAAAUGCGGAAGAGAUAAGUGCUGAAAGCAUCUAAGCACGAAACUUGCCCCGAGAUGAGUUCU
rnacentral:rRNA from 1 species